rnacentral:rRNA from 1 species
AUUGAACGCUGGCGGCAUGCCUUACACAUGCAAGUCGAACGGUAACGCGGGGGCAACCCUGGCGACGAGUGGCGAACGGGUGAGUAAAGUAUCGGAACGUGCCCUAGAGUGGGGGAUAACUAGUCGAAAGAUUAGCUAAUACCGCAUACGAUCUAAGGAUGAAAGCGGGGGAUCGCAAGACCUCGCGCUCGUGGAGCGGCCGAUAUCUGAUUAGCUAGUUGGUGGGUAAAGGCCUACCAAGGCGACGAUCAGUAGCUGGUCUGAGAGGACGACCAGCCACACUGGGACUGAGACACGGCCCAGACUCCUACGGGAGGCAGCAGUGGGGAAUUUUGGACAAUGGGGGCAACCCUGAUCCAGCAAUGCCGCGUGUGUGAAGAAGGCCUUCGGGUUGUAAAGCACUUUUGUCCGGAAAGAAAUUGCCCUGGUUAAUACCUGGGGUAGAUGACGGUACCGGAAGAAUAAGCACCGGCUAACUACGUGCCAGCAGCCGCCGUAAGAC